ensembl:lncRNA
CCUGCCUCGGCCUUCCAAAGUGCUGGGAUUAUAGGUGUGAGCCACUGUGCCUGUCUGACAGUUUUUUUUAAAUUUGAGCACUUUGAAACAUUCUCUCCUGGCCUGCAAGGUUUCUGCUGAGAAGUCUGCUGAUAGUCUAAUGAGAUGUUUUUCUCUCAUAGCUUUCAGAAUUUCCUCUUUGUGACUUUUUUUUUUUUUUUUUUUUUGAGUUUGGAAGCAGAGGUUUAAUAGGCAGAAGAAACAGAAAGGAGAACAGCUUUCUCUCUACUGAGAGAGAGGAGCUUCCAAGAAGAAAAGGCUGGCCAGUGGCAGAAUUCGCUGGAUUUCAUAGUUCAUCUCAACCUUCCUUUACUGCAUAUAAUUUGUGCUUGUUUGAUUUUUCCUUUGGACCGGUAAAAACAUCUGUCUGGUUCCCUCAUCAUGUGAGUCAAAUAAAAUCUUUAACAUGUGUUCAUUUUUAUAUCAGUGUAAGAGUAUAGUUUUACCUUUUCCUGAACAUUAUCUUUUAGCAAAAAUCCUUCCAAAUCCUAAUUGUUUGUGGAAAGAUUCAGCCACUUGUUUUUCCUGUCUUUCCAAGAUUUGGUUACCCAGAUCAAUUUUCUAGAGACUUUUAAACUAGAACUUUUAAACAUCAAUCAUUUAAAACAAAACACAGCUGAAAUUCUUUCUAAUGCCAUUUUCUGAAUUGUUGGGUUAAUUAAUUGGAAAUCACAGGACUGUGUAUCUAAGAUACCUUCCUGUUUUACCAAUUCUGCAUCAAGGAUCUGAUAGAAGUUCAGGGCUGGCAGUGAGACAGUAAAAGCCAGGGAAGAGAAAGUGGAGAAGGUGCUUUUAAAGGCUCAGUGCUAGCGUUUCACAGAAGGAAGGGCUCAUGAUCAUGCUUAAUGGAAGACUCAGACCUGGAACUCACUUCUUCAGGGACUUCCCAGUCCCAUCCUGCUUCUCAGAAAAGGAGGAGAGAUGAAAACUUUUACUUUUAUGACACAAUUGUCCUCAUCCACAGCUGAGAUCCGCAAACUCUACAGUGCAAUGCCUGUAUUUCUGAGGGUCUCGGGGAAGAUGGAGGGCCUGUACGUGGCUGAGAGAUGAAAGCACGAGUUCCCCUCCACCUGCCCUCCAUGUCCCUCAUCCUGAGCUGCAGGUGGAAGGGGUGGAAACACAGCUGCUGAGAAGGGCUAUAUUGUCUCUUUAUCCCUAGCUGUUUUUCUCGUGAGCUGGAGGGCCCAUGAUUUCGAAUGACCCUGGAUGAGUCACAUAAAUUCCCAGUCUCAUCUGUAAGAUGUGAGGGGUGCAGAUGAUCUUUAAGGCUUCUUUCUACUCUGACAUGGCAAGAAUCCAAGGUUAAGCCUUUUGGUCUGUGGAAGCGUGAAGUAAACUGCUAGUUAUUGUGGCUUUCCUUUGAGUUGAAUUGGUUCAGUGUCAUUUACAAAGGAAAAGAAGGCACUUCUCCGUUUGAUGUAUUUGUGUAUGUGAGUUCCUUGGAUCCAAAGUAGAGUUUGCCUGGGACAUUCCUUGGGAUUCCUUCCCCCUUUGGAUGGAUUGCCAAUUCCACAUCAUUUGAUUACAUUUCUGCCUCCAGAAAAGCCUUCAUCAUGGAAUGUUAGGCACUGAUGAAUAAAUUUUGGUCAAACCAAGAACAUAUUCAGACUUAAGAAUUUCGUUAAAAUGUGUUGAAACUUAUUUCUUCCCCAGUGCUCUUAAAGGUCAUAAGAUCAUUAUGAUGAUUAAUCAUGGACCUUUAGAAGUACCAGUAGGAGAAGUUAACUUGACAUUCAAUUUCUGUUUGGUUUUGUCCCAAAACAGAAUCCAAGCAAAAUAAAAUAAUUAAACAAAUUUCCUAUAUAUAAAAUUUUCGUCCCUCAACCAAUAGACAUAAUGACAGUUAAGACUUAGUAAUUCCAUGCCUUUGAGUACAGCUUUUUACUUCCAAAGCGUUUUGCAUCUAUUACCUUAUUGAGUUUUAAAACAACGAUGGCAGCUGUUUUCAGUUUUAGAUGAAGCUCUAAGAGGUUAACUGACUUAGUCAGGGCCCCACAUCUCUUAAUGAAAAAGUCAGAGCUAAAACUCACUCUCCUGACCCUUCAUCUUUUCCUCUUAUAUGGCACCAUCUUACUUCCAUUAGUUAGGAAUGAAGUUUCUCUUUAAUCAUGAAACUCUUUCCCUUCUGAAGGACAGUAAAGGUAUAUAAUUUCUAAAAAACAAACAACAAACAAGAUAUAGAUGAUUUGUAAUUUAUUAGUUGGAUCAACUUCCAUUUUAGAAAAGACAGAAACAAAAAAUAUAGUUAAUAUUUACAUUUUUUACAAUGAAAAGUAUUUACAUCAUAGAGAAGAAGUACAAAAUGGCAUAUAAAACUCUAGGACAACACAAACAGCAAGGACUACAAUUUCAGCAAAAAAUUAUCUGUCCUUUUUUUUCCUUGUAAGUUGAAGUGUGUCAGGCUGUUGUCUAACCAUUUUGCUAAUUUAGCCAGUUCCUGCUUCAUCUUUUUCAUUUGAUGGCUUUUUCAAAAGAGCCUUUAUUUAGUGAAAUUGGUAAUUGAUAUUCCUACAUCACUCUUUUGGGUUCACCUUUGAUCUUUAGGAUACCUAUUACAUUACUGUGGUUUAAGUCAUUGGCCCCUGUGGUUCCCAGUGGGUAGGACCUCUUACUUAAAAGAGCAGUUGUGUUCAUUUGCUAAAAUCCUCCACAUCUGGGCAGUAGCAAAGCUACAUUUCAAAGAACAGGCUGAUUUGUUCGGCUAAGUCUUUCCAUACAGAAUAUUUGCAUUGCAUUGUAAGUCUAGCCCUGUAUUUAUAGGACCAAGAACCAGAAAGGCUGUCAUUGCACCAGUGACAGAACUGGAACCAGAAACUAGGUCAUCUGUCUCCCCAUGCAGGGACCUCACCCUGGUGUCACACUGCCCAGGAUGGAUGUGUUCAGGUCAGGGAGAAAGGUCUCUUCUGAACUGAGACCACAUUGCCUGUCUCUGUGUGUGCUGCCUCACUGGUGAGCAGGGCCUGGGUCAAAAAAUAUUUCUAGAAUUCCAGAUUGAAGUCUACCUGGAGGUGGAGAAGUGGGAAGCAAGAAGUUUCAAACAGAUGUGGCUAUGGGCUAGCUGGACAGUCUGUCCCCACUGCCAAAACACUUGAGGAGCCGUUUGUGAAGCUGUCUGCUCAGUAGCUUCUUAGCAAACCCUGGCCACUUGGGCUGUUUUUCUUGCUAUUCAUUCUCAGCCUGGAAGUUAGCAAAAUGGAGAGAAGAUGCCACUGUCAAGGGAAAUAUCUACCUUUGGCUUGGUAUAUUCAGGCAUUGGCAAACCGAAUCACAGGCAAUUAAAAAUGAAAGUCAGAAGUGGAAAGGACAGAGUAGUUCAGCAGAGAAACAAGUUUUGUUGAAAUAGCACCUGUUAAUUGGAAGAAAACCGUAUCGGUAGCAUUUAAGAGGACCAAAUUUUAAGGUCAAUAUCUGUCCAUCAGAGAGCUUACAGCUUAAUUUAAGCAAAGCACUUUCCUAUGUCUACAUACACAAAUAACUAAAAUACUUUCAAAAUAUCCAAGGAGAUUAAAAAAAUAGAGUGUACCAGAAAAAAAAAUCCAACAUUAAGAAUGAGAACAGAAUCAUGGUGAUAAUGAUCACAAUAAAAGUAGAGACAGAACUUGAAACACCAAAGUGUGUCAAAAAAUAUUUACAUAUAGGAAGUUAGAAACAGCACAACAUAUAUAAAGUGGGUGCGAAGAUUUAAACAUUUCUGAAUUAUCUGAAGACUAUGAGAAGGAAGAGAAACUCUGUUCUAUAAUUAAGCUAAUUACAGAGAUAAACUAUUGUACAUUUAAAUAUUGUACACCAAAUAACAAGAAAAAAAAUUUAAACAAAAGAGCUAAAGUAUCAAAUGUAUAAAAUCCAAUUGCUUUAAUAAACAGGCAAGAUCAUCCUGGGCUGCUGUGGAAGUUUGCAAUGUUCAGUUGGGCAGAAAGGAAGUAUUAAGAAGAAGGGAACCAGGUACCUUCCCUUAGUAUUCUUUUCCCAGCAAAAUGCUAUUUUUACUAAAUUGCUGAAAUAUGAUAUGAGAUUCUGUACUCUUUGUUAUAAAGAAAGCUCCCAAAAUUAUAGACUAAUUAAAAUUCCUUGGAGCCCCCUUUUUGGAUUAUCAACCAAAGAGGCCACGGGAUGAUUUUGUGCUUGGUGGAGUCUGGCGUAACAGACUGAAGUAGUUCUGGAUUGUUGGAGAAAAACUGUGGUUGAAGGCACAGGUAUUCUGCACAGGAGGGGUCCCUUUGGUCAGUACCAAGAGGCUGCAUGUGAGGCCAGGGCCAUGGGAGGCCCACAGAGACCACCAUGGUCUGGGAUUACCACCACCCAGUGGAGUGCCACUCUGGGGUCACCAGGUUCCGCAGAGGGCUUCUCCCUCCUAUGGUCAGCAGCAUGGUGUGGACAGGCUGAGGGCUAUGGGCACUGACGUUCAACACCGCGCGUAUUUGAAGAAGCCUAUGUGAGUACCUCAGGACCUGGAAGGACACCCACACAAGGGGCUAUUUCAGAAAACAGCUGGAGAAACCAGACUUCCUUGAGGGCUCCUCUCCAAGUGGGGAAGGACUUCUUCGGUUGAUA